GGUCUCAGGCAGCUUUGCUGGGAGUGUCCACAUCACCCUGACCCCCGUGAGGCCUGACAGGACCCCACGCCCAGGCAGCCCAGGACCCAGCCUCCCAGCCAGGGGCAGCUGGUGACCGUGUGGUCAUGGUGGGGACCAGCCCUCCGGGGCACCCAGUUGGGGCAGGUUCUCACGUGGGAGGGCACAGGGCUUCCUGCAGGCUCGGAGGCCCAGGGCGGACUGUGGCCAGUGGAAGGGAAGGAUGUUUCUGGCAGGGGGACUUGUGUGGGCCACGGCUGUGUGGCUGUGGCGAUGAGCACGGCCUCACUGUCCACCUGUCCCCUAGGCCUCCAGAGGAAGAAGUCCAAGUUCGGCUUGUCCAAGAUCUGGUCACCAAAAAGCAAAAGCAAAAGCAGCCCCUCCCAGUAGUAGCCAGUAGGGCCGUGGGCUCGGCCCGGACCUGGCAUCCGGACUUGGACUCGGGGCCAUGGGCUUGGCCCGGACCCGGAACCCGGACUUGGACUCGGGGCCAUGGGCUCGGCCCGGACCCGGCAUUCGGACUUGGACUCGGGAAGGGCCUCCUGUCCCUACAAGGGGCAUGUGGACAGCAGGGACCUGCGCUACCGUCUGUGGUCUCAAUAAAGAAACCGACCACAUGGCCCCGGC
rnacentral:sRNA from 1 species